rnacentral:lncRNA from 1 species
UCUGACACACCCCGUCCCGAAGGAGGGCAUGCUGGCCGUCACGUGAGAGUGACGUAACCAUUUGCACAGUACGGAAGCUUUAAUUAUACAAUUUAUAAGUUGAUACACCCGAAGGUGAGUCCUAAUUUUGUCCAAUCUGUCAGAACACCGUCGAAUUCCUCGUAGUCACCACACCUUUGUGAUUCCUGAACCUGGAGGGGCGCAAAACCAAAAUUGAGUGGGUCAGUAAAACAAUUCUUUUCCAAAUCCAAACAUUUCUCAAAACGUUGUAACCCCUCUCCGUAAAACCUAUAUACUUUCCCAGAAAUGUAAAAUAUAAAUAUACAUAUAUAUUCUCAAAACUUCAUUUUUACUAUCUCAACAUUAUCUCUUUAUCAAUCAUGCCAUGCCAUGUCAUCUCAACAUUUCUCAUAUUAAUUAUGCCAUGCCACAUCAUCUCAACAGUAAUAAGGUAUGAAUGCAUCAACAUAAUCAUAUCAGGUGCAAGAAAGUAAUCAACCGUAGGCCCUCUAAUAGCCCUAUACGGUUGAACCUAGAGCUCAAAAUCUAUCAUUAUCACUCUACCGGAGUCACCUCUGUGACCCGUCCGGCCUUCUGCACACAAGUUACGCUCUAGUGCUUCUCAUAAAUCAUCUGUGCACAUAAUCUAAGGUCACCCACCAGUCGGAAUCUCACUAACACUCUCGCGACUGGUCUGUCGUACCCACUCCGCGUGGACUGUACGACUAGCAUCUACUUGGAUCCAAGGCGAGCGUGCGAUGCGGUGAAUACUAUAAGCACUAAACCAUGGUGCAGGAUUUGAGCUCAAUAUAUAUCAUCAUCAUCAUAACAGUAAUUAAAUACUCACCUGUGCGUUCACCGCACCAUUUCAUACAUAUGUAUCAUAAAUCAAUUCUUACCUGUGCGUCCACCGCACCAAUUCAUACAUAUGCAUCAUAAAUCAAUUCUUACUUGUGCGUCCACCGCACCAAUUCAUACAUAUGCAUCAUAUAUCAAUUCUUACUUGUGCGUUCACCGCACCAAUUCAUACAUAUGCAUCAUAUAUUAAUUCAUGCAUGGCAUUUCAACUCACAUUUCUAUAUACUUUUCAUAUCAAUUCUAUGCAUGGUAUUUCACUUCCCGUUUUUCCACAUAACUCAUAUGCAUUUCAUUUUAAACAUAUUUUCAUUUCAAUUCAAUUUCUGGGAAACGUCAAGUAUAUAUAUAUACGGAAAACAAAACUGCCCACUCACCUGGAGUUCGUCCAACAACUCCCUAGCACCACACAUCAAGGCGUCACGACGAUCGCCGCCUAGAAUAGUAAUCAAAUCCAACCUCAGAAUUCAUAUCGAUAGAAUAUAUAACUUAUAUAAAAUACGUCACUACGUAGUUCGAUCCGGAAGAUCUGCCACUCAGAUUUUAAAUCCAUAACUUCCAGAGGUCCACAAUAUAUCUCUAGGAUAACAUCCUAAAAUUUCAUUACCAUCCAACGGUCGGAUCUUCGUCAAUUUCCAAAACCAAGUGACGGUUAACAUUUUAUAUUAUGGACUUACAAUUCCAAUUCCGGAAGAUCCGUAACUCGGAUUCCCAAUCCGUAAGUUCCAAUAAUCCUCAAAUAUUACGUAUUACAACGUAUCAAAGUUUGGUGACGAUCCAACGGUCGGAUCAUCAAUUCACAUUUUCACCUAAAUGUGAAAACUAUAAAACGUUAUUUGAACACCUAACCAACAAUCUUCAAUAACUUUCUCAUACGGUGUUCAAUUUAGGUAUAUGAAUAUACCACAGUGAUCUACUCGACGUCACGGACGUCGACAUAUUUUUAAAAUAUUUUUUUUUUAUUUUUUUAUUUUUACUGUAGCACCUUCUUCUUCCUUGGGUCGCCGGACUGGUUUUUCCGGCGGCCGUUUUCCGGGCAGUUUUUCAAAUUGCCAUAACUUUGUCAUUUCUCAACGAAAUCAAGUGAUUCAAAAACGAAAGUUGUAGCCCUUGAAGAGACAAAGAGAAUGGUACCUUGCACAACACCUAGUUCGCCGUGGUUUGGCCGGAAACUGCCUCGAAAGCCUCGGAGGUCGCCGGAAACUGGGUAUUUUUCAAAUGAGUAUAACUUCUUCAAUACUCAACGAAAUUGAGUGAAACAAAAAGGAAAGUUGUAGUACUUGACGAGACGAAGAGAUUGAUACCUACCUCGACUCCUAACUCGCCGGGGAUUCGCCGGAAAAAGCCUCGAAAGCUCCGGCCAAACUUUGAACUUGUCGAUCUCCGUGUUCUUACGUCCAAAAACUUCCAACGAAGCACUCCGAGCUUCCUUGGGACCUCACUAAGCUCACUAUGAGCUUGGAUUGUCCUAAAAAUCAACCAAUUCAAAGCUCAUGAACAGUACACUUUCAUGGGGAGUUUAGAAUCUAGGUUUUCCGAAGUAAAACUUACCUGAAAUGGAUACCAACGUGAUCGUGAAGUCCUCAGGAUUCCAAUGGUGGUCUCAAACUUGACGUUGGUAUAGAUUAGGGUGGUUUUGUGGUGGUCCGUGUGAGUUCGAAGGAGAGGGAGAGAGAGUGAAAAUCUGAAAUGGAAGAAGAAGAGAGAGAAGGAAAGGUUACGGAAAAUUGGGAGGAAAUUAGGGUAUAGGACCCUACCUAAAGUCCAACACAACAAUAGCUUAGAAAUUUUAGGUAAAACAAACACCAAAAUUACGCACCUUAAUCCCGUUUAAGGGCGUUUUUGUAAUUUCACAUCCUCGGAAUUAAAAAUUCCGGGACGGGCUAUGACAAUCUCCCCUCCUUAUAGAAUUUCGUCCCCGAAAUUCCAGCCACCAACCAAACUCUCAAUACUAAAAAAAAAUAGCCUCGGAUACAUAUCUCUCAUCCGUUCUUUUGUCUCCCAAGUAGCUUCUUCUGCUGAAUGGUUCCUCCACAAUACUUUUACCAAGCUCACGAUCUUAUUCCUCAGAGUCUUAUCUUUCCAAUCCAGUAUAGUCACUGGUUCCUCAUCAAGUCGAAUCCGGAUUAAUCUCCAAAGGUUGAACCAGAAUCUUAUGCGACAAAUCUGCCACCUAGUGACAACGCAUCGAACACAAAAUACAUUAUGUGCCUUAGCCAAUUCUGAAGGCAUCACAAACUUGUAUGCAACUUCGUCGAUUCCUUUAAUGAUCAAAACGGACUGAUGUGUUCAAGACUUAUCUUGUCUUCCUUUCUGAAUCUUACUAUUUCUGUUCAUGGUGAAAUUCCAAAAAUAUCAAACCAUUUACCUUACACACUCGAUUAGUGGCAUAUCCAUCUGUUGAUCUCUUUUGCCAUUCCUGGUUACUUCAGUUUAACUUAAUCACCUGAAUACUUUGAGGAGACUAAUCCAUAGUCUCAGGGUCUACUAAAACUCUUUCUUGAUCGAAUCUUUCUCUAUUCAGAAGCAUUCCAUUCACAAGUCAUCAAAAACCGACUCACGUGACACAUUUCAUGGUCCUUAUGGCGUUACUUCGGAAACUGCACAACCAACAUACUUAAGAAACUUAGCAGUUCCGUAAUCCAAUUCUCUUUUCCAUAAAACAAAUUAGUAAUGUUGCACUGUCUGGGAAAGGUUGUCAACACUGGAGUAAAUGUACUAACUUGUUACUUAACAAGUAUAACUUCUUCUCGAUCUUCCAUUCUUAACUUUACUUUAGUUGGUUUCCAAUCCACAAGAAGAUAAUCUUGGCAAACGUGCCAGACAUUAAUCUUACUGUAGUCUUCUCGCCAAGUGCUUGAGCUAGAACAAACUUUACGAUCACCCUGAUCGUACAAUCAUGUUCAUUAAGCAAUACAAUUCACUUUCGCUGCCUCAUAUCAAAAUCCUUCCAAGUAAUGGAUAUUGAAGACUUUUUGGAUUCGUAAAAAUCUUGCAUUCUUAUCAACAUAUAAUGCCUUCAUAACUUCACAGCAAGAAUGAUAAUCGUGACUUCCAAAUCACCAGUAGGGUAAUUCAUCUCAUGAGGUUCCAUUUAUCGUGAAACGUAUGCAAUCACCCUAACAUUUGCAUCAACAUGCCUCCAAUACCAUUCAAGAAACAUCACUAAAAAUUUAUGAUUACCACUAUUCUCUGGGAAUACCAAAAUACGUGCAUGAGUGAGGAAAUACUUCAGUUGUUGAAUCCUUUGCUCACAAUUUCCUUCCCACUCAUACAUAACCUCAUUUCUCCACAGUCAAUUUCUGCUAUCUUUUAAUGAUUCACUUGAAUACCUUAAGCAGACAUAACAAAUUUUAGAAUGCCACUUGAUCCAUUUAACUUUAGCUUUUGCUAAACUUAGCAUACAACUAACGUUCUCUCAAUCUUUGCUUCAUUGACUUAAUACGUUUACAUGCUCUGCUCUGGCUCAGAAUAUGCCAGAAUAUCUUCAAUGAAAAUGAUAUCAAUCUAUCAAGGCAUUAUUGGAAUACUUCAUCCAUCAACUCAUAAAACAGCAUGAGUAUCCAUAUAGCAUCACCAAACUUCAUAAAGACUAUAACGAGUCCAGAAAAACAAUCUUAGGAACAACGUUACUCAUAAUUUUCAAUUGAUAGUAACAGACUUCAAGUCAAUCUUUGAAAAGAUAAAAGCACCUUUGAACUGAUCAAAUGAGCGUCAAUACACCACAAUGGAUAACGGUUCUCAUUCGUUACCCGAUUCCAUUAUCUAUAAUCAAUGAAUAAUCUCUAAGUCCAUUUUCUUUCUCACCAACAAACUGGUGCUCCUCAAAAGUGUUGUACUAGGUUGAAUAAAACUUUUAUCAACCAAUUCCCUCAACUGAAUUUCCAAUUCCCUUAACUCAUCAUGAACCAAUCUCCAAUAUAAAUUUAUAUCUGGCAACAAAUCAAUAAUGAACCUCAUAUCUCUGCCUGAAGGCAAUCCAGGUAUACUUUCAAGGAAGACAUCAAGAAAAGUCUAACUCUUUCGACAUUAUUCACACUACUCCAAACAACAUCAUUUAGCACCACAUGAGCUAAGUAUUUUUGACAGCCUUUCAAAAACAAUCUCUUUGCUCUCACAGCAUAAAUAACAGCCUGACUCAAUCCAUUUUGCAUACUUACAAAAGUAAUCUCUGUUCAUCCAGAUCGAUGGAAAGUACUGGUUUCCCAUAACAUUUCGUCUUGUCACAAUUAUAACCAACCAAUCUAAUGGAAAUAAUUUAACCGACACAAUACAUACUCUAUUACUACUAAGCAUUCUGAAUAAGUACAAAAUAAUCUACCGGUUUACUUACUUAACGAAUCCACGAAUGAGUUAUUAAUAUUACGGUCUGCAGCCCGCAAUACUGAUAAAUCAUCGUUGUCUCGAUAAGUAGGCAACCACUCACAAAGAUAUAACAUUACUAUUUUGUCACUCAAUGCAAAAUACAUACACUCGUCUCAACUACAUUUAUUUACUACUUCCUAGGUAAUAGCAUACAUAAUAAGAAAUAUAUCAGCCGAAGUCAACUAGAAUGACCAAUACGGUUGAUUCAACUCUUAUCUCAAUAAUACGUCGGCCGGAUCCACUCCGCGUGGUAGGUACGGCCGAGCCUAUAACUCACUAAUUUCUCAUGUGUCAGUCAAAUCCACUUCUCAUGGUCUGUACGGCUGAACAUAUAACUCAUCAAAUAUCUCUGUACUCACGGUCAAUCCGACCAAACUACUAAAUCCAUAACUCUGCUAAAUCGACACUAUGAUUUCAUGGAAAAUUGUUGAGUACAACUGAUUCUAGGGACGAUUCACAACUCUGUGUCCCUUCUGUUCACAUAAACACAUUCAUUAAUUUCACAUUUCCCAAAGUGUUAAUUUUGUACCUGCUGCACAAAGUACAUUUCCUUUACUCGAGACACCUUGUCUCAAAUAUCUGGGAUUACCAGUAUAUCCAUCACUUUUACUCUGACCAGCGACAUUAAAACCUCAGCUGGAAGAAUUAACUCUAGCUUCACUUCUUUCGAAGCUCUGAAUCUUUCUAUAUCCUUGAUAUGACGAAUCAUUAACUUUAUCGUCAACUUCCUUGAUUCACAUUUGCAAACUCUUGCUUACUACCAUCGAUAAAUGUCGGAGGGAUAAACUUUUCCUUUAAACAAGUCCUUAAACAAUUCUCAAUCGACUGAUUCCUCUGGUGACAACAAUUCAUACUCCUGUUUCCACCAGGAUACAAAUUCAUAACCAAAACCAGGUAGUCGUCUCGACCCCUUGUCAGAAGGAAAUUUCCUUUGACUUGCAUAACCUGAAACAUCUUUUCCAAAUGGUUAAACCGUUACUUCGCUCCCUCAGGUUCAUCAUUUCAUAAGGUGAUUCAAAUUCAACUCAUAACCCGUCUUAAAAUGUCCAUUUUGAUAAUAUACCGAAUCACCAUGAUAAUAGUUUCCCCCAAACCGCUAAUUCAAGGAGACUAAAUUCCUCUAACUACGUGGUUUGCUACGAGGCGGUGUAAUUCUGACAGAAUUCACUAUAAACUUCUCAAGAUGUCCAAGAUUGCAACCAUGCUCUGAUACCAACUGACACACCCCGUCCCGAAGGAGGGCAUGCUGGCCGUCACGUGAGAGUGACGUAACCAUUUGCACAGUACGGAAGCUUUAAUUAUACAAUUUAUAAGUUGAUACACCCGAAGGUGAGUCCUAAUUUUGUCCAAUCUGUCAGAACACCGUCGAAUUCCUCGUAGUCACCACACCUUUGUGAUUCUGAACCUGGAGGGGCGCAAAACCAAAAUUGAGUGGGUCAGUAAAACAAUUCUUUUCCAAAUCCAAACAUUUCUC